rnacentral:rRNA from 1 species
GACAGAGGGUGCAAACGUUGUUCGGAAUUACUGGGCGUAAAGCGCGUGUAGGCGGCUUUGCAAGUCGGGUGUGAAAGCCCUCAGCUUAACUGAGGAAGUGCGCCCGAAACUGCAUUGCUUGAGUACCGGAGAGGAUGGCGGAAUUCCCCAAGUAGAGGUGAAAUUCGUAGAUAUGGGGAGGAACACCGGUGGCGAAGGCGGCCAUCUGGACGGAGUACUGACGCUGAGACGCGAAAGCGUGGGUAGCAAACAGG